rnacentral:rRNA from 1 species
UACGUAGGGGGCAAGCGUUGUCCGGAUUUAUUGGGCGUAAAGAGCGUGUAGGCGGCUUUACAGGUCCGUUGUGAAAACUCGAGGCUCAACCUCGAGACGCCGGUGGAAACCGUAAAGCUAGAGUCCGGAAGAGGAGAGUGGAAUUCCUGGUGUAGCGGUGAAAUGCGCAGAUAUCAGGAGGACACCCGUGGCGAAAGCGGCUCUCUGGGACGGUACUGACGCUGAGACGCGAAAGCGUGGGGAGCAAACAGG